UUAAGUUCAGCGGGUAUCCCUACCUGAUCCGAGGUCAACCUUGAGAAAAGUUCUCCCUGUGAGGGGAGGUAGACCGUCGCCCGUGAGCCCUUGUGUCCAGUACGUGUCCCGUGAAGAACUCAGUGUACCGGGGGUCCAACGAGGCCGCCGUCAUUGUCUUUAGGAGGGGCAGGGGGCAAAGGCCUCCGCCAAACCGUCCA
rnacentral:misc_RNA from 1 species